rnacentral:rRNA from 1 species
ACUCCUACGGGAGGCAGCAGUGGGGAAUAUUGCACAAUGGGGGAAACCCUGAUGCAGCCAUGCCGCGUGUGUGAAGAAGGCCUUCGGGUUGUAAAGCACUUUCAGUAGGGAGGAAGGUAGUGUAGUUAACACCUGCAUUAUUUGUACGUUACCUACAGAAGAAGCACCGGCUAACUCCGUGCCAGCAGCCGCGGUAAUACGGAGGGUGCGAGCGUUAAUACGGAAUUACGUGGGCGUAAAGCGCAUGCAGGCGGCCUGUUAAGUCAGAUGUGAAAGCCCGGGGUCUUAACCUCGGAAUUGCAUUUGAAACUGGCAGGCUAGAGUCUUGUAGAGGGGUUAGAAUUUCAGGUGUAGCGGUGAAAUGCGUAGAGAUCUGAAGGAUACCAGUGGCGAA